AUCGAACGCUGGCGGCAGGCCUAACACAUGCAAGUCGAACGGUAACAGGAAGCAGCUUGCUGCUUCGCUGACGAGUGGCGGACGGGUGAGUAAUGUCUGGGAAGCUGCCUGAUGGAGGGGGAUAACUACUGGAAACGGUAGCUAAUACCGCAUAAUGUCGCAAGACCAAAGAGGGGGACCUUCGGGCCUCUUGCCAUCGGAUGUGCCCAGAUGGGAUUAGCUUGUUGGUGGGGUAACGGCUCACCAAGGCGACGAUCCCUAGCUGGUCUGAGAGGAUGACCAGCCACACUGGAACUGAGACACGGUCCAGACUCCUACGGGAGGCAGCAGUGGGGAAUAUUGCACAAUGGGCGCAAGCCUGAUGCAGCCAUGCCGCGUGUAUGAAGAAGGCCUUCGGGUUGUAAAGUACUUUCAGCGGGGAGGAAGGGAGUAAAGUUAAUACCUUUGCUCAUUGACGUUACCCGCAGAAGAAGCACCGGCUAACUCCGUG
rnacentral:rRNA from 1 species